rnacentral:rRNA from 1 species
CACYGCGGUUAUACGGGAGGCCCAAGUUGAUAGAAAUCGGCGUAAAGGGUGGUUAAGAACAAGCUUAAAAUUAAAGCCGAACGCCUUCAAGGCUGUUAUACGCAUCCGAAGGUAAGAAGCCCAAUCACGAAAGUAGCUUUAUAUAUUCUGACCCCACGAAAGCUAAGACACAAACUGGGAUUAGAUACCCCACUAUGCUUAGCCGUAAACAUUGACAGUAAAAUACAAUUUCUGUCCGCCUGGGUACUACGAGCAUUAGCUUAAAACCCAAAGGACUUGGCGGUGCUUUAGACCCACCUAGAGGAGCCUGUUCUAGAACCGAUAAUCCCCGUUCAACCUCACCCUUCCUUGCUCGUCCCGCCUAUAUACCACCGUCGCCAGCUUACCCUGUGAAGGCUAAAAAGUAAGCGAAAUUGGCACUGCCCAGAACGUCAGGUCGAGGUGUAGCGAAUGGAGGGGGAAGAAAUGGGCUACAUUCCCUUUUAAAUAUAGGGUACUACGAAAGAUGCACUGAAACCGCGCAUCUGAAGGAGGAUUUAGUAGUAAGCGGAAAGUAGAGUGUUCCACUGAAACCGGCUCUUAAGCGCGCACACACCGCCCGUCACUCUCCCCAAAACCCCCCUAAACACUAACUAAUCCACUAAAACCAUAGAGGGGAGGCAAGUCGUAA